GCUGCCGGUCGCCUCCUGCCCUGCCCAGCCCCGCCCGGCCCUGCACCGCCUCAUUGCGUGUCACCGGCCGCCUAAACAACGCCCCCACUCCCCCACCUUCUUCCUCCCUGGCUCAUUCUCCACCCCCACCAACCACCAUCCUCUCCACCAUCGUCGGGCGCUGCCACUGGCCACCCACCGGAUGACCCACGUGCACCCGAGACCCGGCGCCCCCAUCCGUCUACCUCCUAGCCGCGUGGCGCCACCGCUCCACAAAACUCCCGCAGAACCACACCUCCAAUCCCCUGGCUACGCCUCCCACCUCCAUAGCUCUCGACAAAAGCUGGAUCCAGCGGCCACCACCCCUCAUCGCCCCCGGCUGGGCUUCCCUCAAUCUCCCACCGCCCCCAAAGCGCCGCCCGGCAAUUGAUCCGAGCCAGCAACCGCCCGAGCGCGCCUCCUGGCCGCGGAUCCAGGCCAGCAACUACUCCUCUCCUCCCCCGCGACUGGUUGCCUCCACUACCCUCCCUUCCAGCUUAGGGUCCGGCGAGCCCCAGCCGCCACGCUCCCUCUUUCCUCUCCUCUACUUCAAGAUCGAGGGUACCCUGGAAUAUAUGGAAGCGCAGAAACUCCAAGCUCUUCCAGGAUUUUUUUGAGGAACUGCACAUUACUGCUAGCAAGAUUGCUGAUGAUCCUAUGUUGUAGUCCAACAGGUAUUCAAAUGAAAUUAAGGAAGGCAUCCUUAGAGGUUGGAGCACUAUGUUGUAUCACCUAUAUGUAAGAUUGUGAUUUUGUCCCUCCUUUUCUUUUCUAUUAAUCCUACUGUAUCGUUUUCCUUUGUAUAGUUUUCAGUGUAUGAAGUGUUUCAGGCCGGUGUAAGCCUGUUGUAGUCCCUGUAAUGAAAAGGUGGCAAGUGACACAUCACCGUCUCUGAACUGAACAGACAUUGUGGCGUCGAUGAGACGCUUCGACCCAUGCUGGCCGCGGCGCCCAACUUUGAAGAAGGCUCAGACUGAUGGAGUUGUCCCAAACAAGGCACAGACCUGACCCCUUCCCGCUCCUGGAGUCCUUGCAUGCCUUUAAAGCAUGUAAUCUUAGUCGUUGGACUUUUUAUAUGGUUGAUUCUAAAUUCGUGUGGUAGUUGCAGAAUGUCAUAGCGCAUGUGUUGCCUUUGUCCCACUCAAUAAGUCCUUCGCCGGUGGUUACACACACGCGCGCCCACGAACUGCUCGGCCAGGGGAGAAAACAGAGCAGUGGUGUUCGGUUAGAAUAGAGGAGGACAUGCGGUCAGGUUUCAGGAACCAAUGCCUUCAUAUUUUUCUCUUUCAACUGAGUGCUGGCUAAAUAAGCACAAGCCUCUUAUUACAAGGUUAGUUCAACUCAA